CUUCACCGACCCCAGCAGCAGCGGCACCUCCCGGCCCUGACCGUAGGUCGCCAGCAGCGCCCCGGCCUC
rnacentral:antisense_RNA from 1 species